CCUCUCACCAAUGGACAAGAAUCUAUUCCUCUUAAAUUUUAUGUCAUUUCUCCAACUUAGGCCAAAGCCUCUCUUCAUUGCAAUGGGCAGAGCCAAAUCCGCAGCAAUUGACAAGGCUCCUCUCUACAAUGGCCGACACCCUCACUCUAUGAGCUGAAAGCCAUUCUCUUCAAUGGACAAAAGCCAAAUAACAUUUUCUAUCAUUCUCCUAUUUAUA
rnacentral:misc_RNA from 1 species